rnacentral:rRNA from 1 species
UACGUAGGGGGCAAGCGUUGUCCGGAAUCAUUGGGCGUAAAGCGCGCGUAGGCGGCCCGGUAAGUCCGUUGUGAAAGUCCAGGGCUCAACCCUGGAAAGCCGGUGGAUACUGUCGGGCUAGGGUCCGGAAGAGGCGAGUGGAAUUCCUGGUGUAGCGGUGGAAUGCGCAGAUAUCAGGAGGAACACCGAUGGCGAAGGCAGCUCGCUGGGACGGUACUGACGCUGAGGCGCGAAAGCGUGGGGAGCGAACAGG